rfam:Populus trichocarpa scaffold_2_contig_79, whole genome shotgun sequence.
UAAUUUGUUUGUGGCAGAUCAUGAUUUAAUUGUGGCAAACUCACACUUGAUGACUCAAAAUUACAUUUUAUCGCAGACCCAACUACAUCAUUAAGUUUCUUUUAAAAUUUUAAAUAACUAAAAA